rnacentral:tRNA from 1 species
GAGAAGAUGGCUGAGUGGUCAAAGGCGCCCGACUGUAAAUCGGCUGAUUCAUAUCAUCGUAGGUUCGAAUCCUACUCUUCUCA